AUUUUAUUCAGUUGUAUUUUAUCCUUUUCAGAUACUCCCCAAACAGCUCUGAGACUUUGGUAAUCAUCCAGUUUUGGUUAACCUGUUCAGAGGAGAGGAUUGAUCACAUCAGGUCAAUUACCUACUUAGUUCAAUCUGUUAUAAAACAAGAGUGACCUCAGAACUGAAAGCCUCUCUUCUAUCUGAGAUGCAUUGGUGACACUUUCCUAUCACAGGCCUUGGGAGGCAGGCUGUACUUUAUUUCAGACAGCCCAUUACCCUAAAAAUACCUCUUCAUGAGUAACAGGCCAUAUAGCAGAUAUGUGGACCAGAGGGACCAGACGCUGUGGCAGAGCCAGAUACCAACUCUAUUCCCAUAUCUAGUUUAACAUAAUUAUUACAGGAGCUAAGAAUGUCAAUAGAACCUGAGGGGCUAAUUCACCUGCUCAUCUUCCAAAGUAAUAUAUGCCAUCAUUUGCCAAGAAUGACCUUCUAGCUGAUCUAUGCAAAAGAAUGAAUGAGCACAAAUCUGAAAUGGCUGUAUAGAAAAGCCAAAGAGGGAACAUUUCAGCUUCUCAGGAUGCUCUGUCACUGACCUUAAGGUGUUCAUUAUUGAAUGAAGUGGCCUCAAACCAUGAGACCAUUGUAUUACAAUGCACCAGUGCUAUUAUUUGCAGGUGGAAUCAAUACAAUAGGUGCUGGGUUUACGUUUUUUAAAACCACACUGGAUGUGCUAAAAACUGACUUACCAGUGCAAGGAUGUCUGUGUUAUCAACUACUGUUUUUGGUGCAUCAUUGCAGUUUAAAAGGUCAUUGUCCUCAACUGUAUAAUUCAGCAUUUAGUUUCCCUCUGAUCUCUUUUUACAAGCUCCCUACCAAUUGUGUCCCUGCAACUCAGGAUAAUACUUUAUGCAUCCAAUGAAGUGAAUUAUAUUGUGUGUGUCAUAAUAAUUUUUUUAAUCUUUCAGGUGCUACAAGACUCUUCUGUUGGUUUUGCAGAAUUGAAAAGAUUCGCCCUGCACCAAUUUUACAAUGAUUGCUUACGGAUUGAAAUGGUGAUCUGAAAAAGCCAUUGUGAAAUGGGUACUAACUUUUGUGCUAGAUUCUACUGCCUCAAAUGAAUGGCAUCUCAGCCUGUGGUCUUUAUCUUGCAGGUCAUGAUUACAACAUCUUAUUGUGCUUAACUAAGAAAGAAACUCUGAUCUCCCUCACCCCCGCUUUGUGAAACACCUUGUCUGGUGAAGAGUUCUGGAGAGCUUGCCAUACUUGUUUGGCAUUCCUGUUGGUUUCAAUAAACACAUUACCCUACUGUGGAUUGUGGAGUUGUUGUUGUUGUUGUUUUCUAAUGGGCCAGCAUGCCUACUUUUGCUUUUAAUUGGGCUUAUUUACAAUGGAUAGAGUACUCUUUAUCUCCAAGAGAGAAAGCAGCUUUUUUUUGCUUUUUUUUAGGGAUGAGGGACAUACAGAAUCAGUAUAGACUGAGUGCAUCUUCUGAAGGCAAGGAUAUGGUUGGUUUGUUAGCUAUUUUAUUCAUAGAUCUCUCGUAUCACAUCUAAUUUGUGCAUAUGUGACCACCUUUCUGAAUUUGAGGUCUGUUUAGGAGAAUGCCAGGUUUUCCAAGCAUUCUGCUCUACACUGUAGCCAACCAUAUCACUAUGCAAUACCAAAAGCAGGACACAGGUCAGGUGAGUACCCUUUUGCCCUGUUCUUUCCCAGCAAUUGAUAUGCCUCUGAUAGCAUAUAUCCAUAACGAUUAGUAGCCACUGAUAGUCUUAGCAUUCAUGAAUUUGCCUAAUCUCUUGAGAAAGCCAUCUAGGUUGGCAGCCAUAAUCACAUCUUGAGUAAUUCCAGGGCUGUGCUUACUUACACA
rnacentral:lncRNA from 1 species